rnacentral:rRNA from 1 species
GACGAACGCUGGCGGCGUGCCUAAUACAUGCAAGUCGAACGCAGUGGGGACGGGUGAGUAACACGUGGGUAACCUCCCAUCAGAGGGGAUAACACUUGGCAACAGGUGCUAAACCGAUCCUGAUGGAUGGACCCGCGGUGCAUUAGCUAGUUGGGGAGGUAACGGCUCACCAAGGCCACGAUGCAUAGCCGACCUGAGAGUGUGAUCGGCCACACUGGGACUGAGACACGGCCCAUAUGCCUACGGGAGGCAGCAGUAGGGAAGCGUCGGCAAUGGACGAAAGUCUGACCGAGCAACUGCGCGUGAGUGAAGAAGGUUUUCGGAUCGUAAAACGCUGUUGUUAGAGAAGCGGUAUCUAACCAGAGAGCCACGGCUAACUACGUGCGAGCAGCCGCGGUAAUUC